rnacentral:rRNA from 1 species
AUUGAACGCUGGCGGUAUGCUUAACACAUGCAAGUCGAACGGUAGCAGGCCUUCGGGCGCUGACGAGUGGCGGACGGGUGAGUAACGCGUAGGAAUCUGCCUCAUAGUGGGGGACAACGUGGGGAAACUCACGCUAAUACCGCAUACGCCCUACGGGGGAAAGCGGGGGAUCUUCGGACCUCGCGCUAUGAGAUGAGCCUGCGUUAGAUUAGCUAGUUGGUAGGGUAAAGGCCUACCAAGGCGACGAUCUAUAGCUGGUCUGAGAGGACGAUCAGCCGCACUGGGACUGAGACACGGCCCAGACUCCUACGGGAGGCAGCAGUGGGGAAUAUUGGACAAUGGGCGCAAGCCUGAUCCAGCAAUACCGCGUGUGUGAAGAAGGCCCUAGGGUUGUAAAGCACUUUCAAUAGGGAGGAAAACCUGUCGGCCAAUACCCGGCAGCUUGACAUUACCUAUACAAGAAGCACCGGCUAACUCCGUGCCAGCCGCCGCGGUAAAAC